CCUGGCAGUUUGUUGCUCUCUGCCAGGUGAUUGGCUGAAGAGCUGUGAAAAGGUAAUGGGUGUGUGGGGUGAAGUCAGCGCUCUUCUGUGGAAAAAACCAGAGGCAAUUAAUUCACUCAGGUGCGAGUGGGUAUACUGUCGAUCACAGGCCAUACAUAGCACUGAUUCCCAGCUGCGCUGAGACCCGAAUUGUUUGCAGUGUGUGCCACGAUUGCAGUGUCGCUAAGCGGGGUGUGAUGGGUUGCAGUGUUAUUUCGCACAGUUUGUGUGGUAAGUCUCAUGUGCAGCUGGGAUAUCAGCAGGAUGUGUUGUAAGUCCUGUCUGGAAACGACUGGGAAUUUGUAUGUUUAACUCAUGUAAUAAAUAAAUGAUCAAUUAUUUCUUUGCCCCGUUUACUCAUCCCUUGUCCUCGGUUACAGUAUGAAUUAAACAGGUUAAAGGUCAAUGCUCUGUUG
ensembl:lncRNA